rnacentral:rRNA from 1 species
GACGAACGCUGGCGGCGUGCUUAACACAUGCAAGUCGAACGAUGAACCCGGAGCUUGCUCUGGGGGAUUAGUGGCUAACUUGUGAUUAACACGUGAGUAACCUGCCCUGGACUCUGGGAUAAGCGUUGGAAACGACGUCUAAUACCGGAUAGGACCUUGGAUCGCAUGAUCUGGGGUGGAAAGUUUUUUCGGUCUGGGAUGGACUCGCGGCCUAUCAGCUUGUUGGUGAGGUAAUGGCUCACCAAGGCGUCGACGGGUAGCCGGCCUGAGAGGGUGACCGGCCACACUGGGACUGAGACACGGCCCAGACUCCUACGGGAGGCAGCAGUGGGGAAUAUUGCACAAUGGGCGAAAGCCUGAUGCAGCAACGCCGCGUGCGGGAUGACGGCCUUCGGGUUGUAAACCGCUUUUAGUAGGGAAGAAGGGCUUCGGCUUGACGGUACCUGCAGAAAAAGGACCGGCUAACUACGUG